GAAGUGGUGUUCUAUUAGCGGUGU
rnacentral:siRNA from 1 species